GCUGAACAUGGUGGUGCAUGCCUGUAAUCCCAGUGACUGGGGAGGCUGAGGCAGGAGGAUCAUGAAUUCCAAGUCAGCAUCAGCAACUUAGUGAGGCCCUAGGCCACUUAGUGAGACCCUGUCUCUA
rnacentral:sRNA from 1 species